rnacentral:rRNA from 1 species
GACCAGACUCCUACGGGAGGCAGCAGUGGGGAAUAUUGCACAAUGGGGGAAACCCUGAUGCAGCGACGCCGCGUGAGUGAAGAAGUAUUUCGGUAUGUAAAGCUCUAUCAGCAGGGAAGAAAAUGACGGUACCUGACUAAGAAGCCCCGGCUAACUACGUGCCAGCAGCCGCGGUAAUACGUAGGGGGCAAGCGUUAUCCGGAUUUACUGGGUGUAAAGGGAGCGUAGACGGCAUGGCAAGUCAGAUGUGAAAGCCCGGGGCUCAACCCCGGGACUGCAUUUGAAACUGUCAGGCUGGAGUGCAGGAGAGGUAAGUGGAAUUCCUAGUGUAGCGGUGAAAUGCGUAGAUAUUAGGAGGAACACCGGUGGCGAAGGCGGCUUACUGGACUGUAACUGACGUUGAGGCUCGAAAGCGUGGGGAGCAAACAGGAUUAGAUACCCCUGUAGA